UUCUCGCCAUUGCCAAACCAGGGC
rnacentral:miRNA from 1 species